rnacentral:lncRNA from 1 species
AGAGAUUUUCGGUCUGUAAUGGACCAUUUUACCCUUUGUUGUGCAAUUGUUCAGAGCUUGUAAAGUCUGUUUGUAAUUUGCAUUGUCUAUGAAGUGUUUUUCGGAGAUGUUUGCUUGUGGAUCCCGAUUGAGGCGUUCUCUCUAACCCGUUCUCUCUUUUGUUGGUCCUAAGGGACAAUGGGAGGCUUCGGAGAGGCUGACCUUUGCGGACGGACACGCA